UACGGGGGGGCAAGCGUUGUUCGGAAUUACUGGGCGUAAAGGGCUCGUAGGCGGCCAACUAAGUCGGAUGUGAAAUCCCCAAGACUUAAACUUGGGGAACUGCAUCCGAUACUGGAUGGCUUGAAUCCGGGAGAGGGAUGCAGAAUUCCAGGUGUAGCGGUGAAAUGCGUAGAUAUCUGGAGGAAUACCGGUGGCGAAGGCGGCAUCCUGGACCGGCAUUGACGCUGAGGCGCGAAAGCUAGGGUAGCAAACGGG
rnacentral:rRNA from 1 species